UGUGGGAUCUUAUCUGAUCUCCAGUCCGUUUCCGAGCAUGGUGUUUUAGGGCUUUCCUUUUUUUUUCGGCUUUUAGCGUGUGGGGUGUUCGGCCAGAUCUGGUUAUGGGUCUCUCCGCGGAUCCUUGUUGUCUGUAGGAUCGUCGAGACCUUUUAUGUUGGUUAUGUUGAACUGCCAGUCGGCCAUUAACUGCUGGAAAAAUAAGAUAGGGAGCUUUUCUUGAAAUGCGACCCUCUUUUUACCCUGUAUCGCUCGUUCAUUUCUCUGGUUCUUGGUUCUUGGUUCUUGAUCUGGCGAUUCUCCGGCGAUUUUCCGGCGAUUCUUGGAUCUGUGUUUCCUGAAUGUGAAACCUUGAAAUGUGGGGUAGAUGACGACGUUUCUGGCUUGACCCUCGCGUUGACGUGCGCGUGCUUGAUGCGUUUUCGGAUCG
rnacentral:lncRNA from 1 species